CCUCUCACACAUCACAGGGCUGUGAACCCUCUAGCACCACACAGGGGGGUCUCCAAAGAAGCAGUGGCCACUAGCAUUCAUUACUAAUAACAUAUAUUAGGAAGGCCAGGCAUGGUGGCACAUGCUUUUAAUCCCAGCACCGGGGAGGCAGAGGCAGGUAGAUCUCUGUGAGUUUGGAAAUGGGAUUCACUUCACAGAAAGCCCUCUCUGAGCCUUGACUUCUCCAUCUGGAUUUCAGAGGCUUAGAUUUGACCAUUGGCUUUCAGAUAUUUGGACUCCCAGGCUCUGUUUCAGGGCCCCGGAGACCUGUCUCAGGUGUCUGCGCAGCAGCAUCCUCUGGGGCUACACUGUCUCCAAGCACUUUGCAAACAAAGGGGGUGGUGACAAGAGAGUGAAAUAGCCAGAAGCUCCCAAGAACCCUCUCCUCCAUCCUUGCCCUCCCUCUUCGAGCUACAGCCCAGAACUCUAUCUCUCUCUCCAGUGACCUAGAUGAGAAGACACUGUGUCCUGUGAAUCACCCAGGCAGUGAGCAGCCCGGGAAGACCUGGUUGGGGCCUGCCUCAGCCACACGCCCCCACCCUCAUUCUCUCUUCACGUCAACCACAGUUCUGGAACAAAACCAGCUGAUUUUGUUUCUGGCCCAGAGCACAAGCUGUUCUCUGCCUGGAGUGUCCUAAAGUUCACCUGCCUACAGAAAACUCUCCCUUGUGGUUCUGAGUGGUCGUCUCCCCUGAAAUUCUUCCUCAGCACUGUCUUCCUCUAUGGUUAAGCUGGAGUGCUCCUGUCCAGGGUCCUGGAGGGCCUGUCUCUGCAGAUGGCAAUUGUUGGCCACCACUGGCUCGUCCCCAGAGAAGCAUGCCUGGCAGCUGUACAGAGAGGCAGAGGCACACCAUAGGAAGACUGGAGCACGGUACCUGGCAGGCAGCAAACGCUCGGCAUUUACUGAGUAAUCAAUCUAUGCCAGGCACUGUGCCAGGUGCUAAGGACCCCACAGCAAGAGAGACCCACUUCCUGCCUGCUUGCAGCUCACAAUGAAUCCACGAGGCUUCCCCUUCCUUCCUGCUCACCUCCUUUCCACCCCCAUUUCUUUUCCAACCCAAACCCUCGUCAGUCUUCACAGACCUCAGCCAAUGCAUUCACACAGCACCAGACAGCAUGACGACACAGCAGGAGGGUCAUGUGACAUCUAUGUGCUUUGAGACUUCUCCCUGGAAGUGGUCUUCAAACAGGCCCACAGCUGAGUCCCUGCCCAGCUGCAGUGCUGGGGCCUGACAAGUUACUUGCAUUCUUGGGGUCCCAAUUCCCUUUUCUUUAAA